rnacentral:rRNA from 1 species
CAAGCGUUAUCCGGAAUCAUUGGGCUUAAAGGGUCCGUAGGCGGUUUAGUAAGUCUGUGGUGAAAGCCCAUCGCUCAACGGUGGAACGGCCAUUGAUACUGCUAGACUUGAAUUAUUAGGAAGUAACUAGAAUAUGUAGUGUAGCGGUGAAAUGCUUAGAGAUUACAUGGAAUACCAAUUGCGAAGGCAGGUUACUACUAAUGGAUUGACGCUGAUGGACGAAAGCGCGGGUAGCGAACAGG